UAGAAAGCAGCACACAUGACCUCUGUCCUUCCAGCUGCCACCAGUUUCUGGGUUGUCGAGUGAUACCCUGAAAGUUUACAGUCAACACUCCUUGUGUGGGGUCAGUCCUAGAAAUGGCGACGCUGCUCUCCGAAGAUAGGAAAGAAAAGGACCUCAUUCCAUUGAGCCAUUGACCGAAAUAUUUUCUCAACAAAGUUGAACUGAGCUGAAACUGUGUGAAUCAUGGCAAUACAGUGAAAGACAGUGAUUUACUGCUUUUGAGGGCGUGCAUGUAUAUGAUUAACGGAUGGAAGUGCAGGACUCCAAGAUUUACUUCCUUCCCUUUCCAGCAGAAUUACCUGAGACGAGUAAAAUCUACUGGUGGAGUCACUCCAUUAUUCUUAUCUGUGGAGAUCUAGAUCUUGAUUUGAAAGUUUCUGAGAAAAUCUUCAGCUCAGACUUGAGGGUCAACUUUACCAGCUGAAGGAUCUGCAUUUACUGCUCAACCACAUCUAAUUUGAUGUCCUCUGCAGAUUUAAAAUGUGUGCCUUCUUUUCCGUCACCAAGUCAUCCCUGGGUUACUACUGAACAUCCUUCUCAAUUCCCCCCGACCCAUGGAUGGCUGUUCUCCAUUGUCUGUUUCACCAGAUGUCCUCAAAACAAACAGACAGAAGAAGGAAGUGGCUAAUGGAGCUGUGGAGUCCAAGUGUGACUGCCAAGAGGAAUCCAGCAAAGCCAAAAAGCCCAAGCAUGUAGCCCUGCCCGAAGCACGCCACACGCAUGGAAAACCCAGAGGAAAUGAGUGAGGAUCAAUGGGAAGAAGAGAGCCAGCCAGGUUCGAUGCCUUCUCCAUCCGUCAGUGAGGGUGUGGAGAGCCUGCAGGCGUGUGCCUCCCUCUGUAACUUGCUAUUCCUUGUGUAAUGUCAAGUGGAAGUGUGAAGCACCACAAACUGCUCUGAGCAGAGCCCACUUCCCUUCACCCACGGAGAGCGUGAAGCAGUUACACCAACAUCAAUCAAGGAAAACCCACAGGCUGAGCUCACACGGUUGAAGCAGGAAGUUGAAGAUUUGUCCAGGAGCAGAUAGCUGAAGAGAGAGAGAGAGAAGAGAGAACGGCUUACAGCUCAGGUCCUCUCUCCAUGCUUAGGAACCACUACAAAUGCUACUGCCUUGAGUCUCAUUUUGUUUCCCUCUGGAAACCACAUGUGUACCUUGUUUGCAACAGUAUGGUUCUGGAGACCAGAAGGCCAAAAUCAAAAGUAUGGGCAGGCUUGAUUUCUUUAGAAGACUCCAGCGGAGAACUGUGUCUCCUUGCUUCUGAUUCUACAUCUCCAUCCAUGGGCCACUGUUUCAGCAACCUCAGCCAGUGCAACACAACCUCAGCCAAGAAGAGUAUGCAGAGAAAGGAGUCCCCUACCUGCCACAAAACUGUUGUCUGAAAACUGUCUCAUAUUGUCUCAAGUUGUCAUUCAUUGUGAAUUAGACCUGUUUAACAUGUAAUCUGCAACAUGCUUCACUGUCUAAUUUUCCAGAGCCCCUCAUAUAAGGAACUGUAUUAUUGGUAUAAUCAUCAUGGUGAAGAAGUUGGUAUGUGGGGGAGAGAUGACAGAAACAGAGAGUAAGUCAGAGCUGGCUGCCUGACAGAUAAAAAGGAAAUGACCAAAAAAAAAAAAAAAGACACAGAAGAAUACUUUGUUGUCCACACAGAAAAGGGAAGUGUAGGUAAGACAGCAGUAGACUAAGAUUCUUAAGACUCAAGUUCUAGUCUUAUUUAUUAGCUAUGGGAGGCCUUGAGGGAGUUCUAGAAUUAAGUGAUCUCUCUUUAUAAAAUAGGAACAGUAAUAACUUCCUGGCUAACUCCCUGGCUGUCUCACAAUGCUGUAGUAGUAAGAAAUAAUUUUAUAAUUAAAGACUAUUUUAGGGCUGAUUACAUUUUUGGGCAGUGGCUCAUACAUGUAAUUUCAACAUUUUGGGAGGCCAAGGUGGGCGGAUUGCUUGAGCCCAGGAAUUCAAGACCAGGCUGGGCAACACAGACCUUGUCACUACAAAAGAAAAAAACAUUAGCUAGGCGUGGUGAUGUAUGCCUGUGGUCCCAGCUACUCAGGAAGCUGAGACAGGAGGAUCACCUGAGCCUGGGAGGUCGAGGCUACAGUGAGCCAUGAUCACACUACUGCACUCCAGCCUGGGAAACAGAGUGAGACUCUGUCUCAAAAAAAAAAAAAAAGGAAUAUUUUACACUUCAAGGUUCUAUACAAAUGUAAAAUAUCAUUCUAUUACUUAUUUAUAAUGCUGAUUAUUCUUUAAAUGACUUUAAAAUGUUAAUCUCUGCUUGAGCCUACGGAGAAGUAUGUAACAAAUUUGUGAAGGAUUGGCAUUAAACAUAGUCAAAAUAAAACAUAGAAAUUAUGGUAAAUAAUUUAACUGGUAAAAUAAUCUAAGUGGUAGUUCUCAGGUAAGUGGAAAUUCGAUUAGCUGAUUGUUUAGGAUUCUUGGUUAUAAGUGACAGAGACCUGACUAAAAGUACAUGAAGCACAUAACUGAGAAGGUUGUGGUAUGGCUCAGCAGAAAUGGGAAAAUCUUGGGACUGGUUCGUGUUUUAUUUACAUUAUCUUUGUUCCCAGGCAGUCUCUGCAUGUAAGUGGCAAAGAUGACUGUCUGAAAAUAUAUACCUACUUUUUUAAAGGGCUAUCUCAAGCCAUUCUGGAGAAGCACCAAAAGCCACUUUGCUUAUACUGGGAGAAUAGUUUGCUUUCCCUAAUUUGUGAUGAGUGAAACACUGAACAGAGACAUAGAAUAAUAUUCUGUAGUUCAGGGUUGGUGUAAUAUGGCCAGUGGGCGGAAUCUGGUCCUCAGACUGAUUUUGCAAAUAAUCUUAUAGAAACACAGCAACACCCAUUCAUUACAUGUUGUUUAUGGUUGCUUUGGGGUUACAAUGGCAGAGUUGAGUAGUUGUGACAGAGAUCACUAGGCUCACCACAUCUGAGAUAUGUACUGACUGACCCUGUACAGAAAGUUUGCUGCUCUUAGAGGAAUGUGUGUUUCUAGUGUCAGCAAUAAACUUCUUGGAUUUGUUUUGUUUUCUCAUCUUUACAUGAUAGUUGCAGACUAGUUGAUCCUUGUGACCUGUUUUUGAAUGCCACUGUGUAUUCUGUCAGGGCCCUCUGAUUCUGUUUCUUAUGGUGCUGAAUGCACAAUUUAAUGCCCUGGAAUUUCCUUCUGUCUUCUGCUAAACUCAUGCCUCUUCAGAUAGUUAAAAUCCUGUUCUACCUUAGAAGUCUCCAGAGUUAUUUUCCUAAAUUAAGAAGAACUGGCUUUGAAGUUACUCAUUAUGCCACACACAAUGGUUGAAAAGAGCAUCUCUUAUGUACUGUGUAUAUUUCAGCAUCCACUCAGCUUCUUAGGUAGAAAAGGAAGAGUCUUCCACAGUGUAUUUUAUCCAUAUUUGGGUCAGAAACUCUUCUUUACCACGGAGCGUGAUGGAAGAAAGAUAUGGGAUGGUAACAGUAGGCCAGGGAUGUAAUAAUCACAAAAUUUGAGAUAUUUUGUGACUGGUGACUCACGCCUGUGAUCCCAGCAUUUUGGGAGGCCAAAGCGGGCGGAUCACCUGAGGUCAGGAGUUCAAGACCAGCUUGGCCAAUGUAGUGAAACCUCAUCUCUACUAAAAAAAUAUAAAAAUUAGCUGGGUGUGGUGGUGCACACCUGUAAUCCUAGCUACUCAGGAGGCUGAGGCAGGAGAAUAGCUUGAACCAAGGAGGUGGAGGUUGCAGUGAGCUGAGAUUGUGCCACCACUGCAUUCCAGUCUGGGUGACAGAGCGAGACUCUGUCUCAAAAAAAAAAAAAAAAAAAAUCUAGAAAAAGAUCUCCAAGAUUCAAUCAUCUAAUUAUUUCUUUUAAAAAUGAGAAAAAUGACUCCUGGUCAGCUUUUACCUUCUUUUUCCAACUGUCUUGACAAUACUUUCAUAUUGGGCUUUUAAAGUCUCAAGUAAUAGGUUUUUAAAACCUCAGCUGAUAAAAGUAUAAAAAUAAAGUUAAAACAUAUUAAAGACAAAACCCAAGAAUCAGCUUCCUCUUCCUUCAUUACUCUUGCAUGGGUGUUGGCUCUAAUUUCUCCAUCUAGUUAGGCAGUCCUUUGCUUUUUAUUGCUUGUUUAUUGAUGACAUUUGCCAUUUGUAGCAAUAGUAAUAGAAUCAUCUAUAUAUUUGUGGCCUUGUUGAAUGUAGAAAAAGGAUAGUGGCAUUUUCUAAUUGUGUAACCCUAUAACACCUUGACGGGGGACUACAGUUCAUAUGCUGGACCUUUUGUGUUUGUUCAUGGCGGGUGGGUUGCUUUAAUAUACUUAGCACAUUGUCCUAAUUGCCAUCCUUUUGGGGAGGGCUAUAUAUCCAAGCUAAUAUGGUAGCAUUUUUGUUUUAACAUAGAGCUGACCCAAGGUAGACGUAAGUGUUGUUCAUUUUUGCCUAAUACUAAUAAAAUUACCUAAUUGUUGAAGCUUGGAGCUUGAAUCUAGGCAUUUUAUUUCAUUUCAAGUACACCCUAGUAUUUUAAAGCAUAAAUAUCCUACUAUCCUCAACAACUUUAGAACAAAAAUAAAUAUUUUAACAAGAAAAAAGCAUGCCAUGACAAGCUGUAACUUAGUAAAGAAAGACAAGGAAUGGUCUCUAUAGACCGAGAAAAAAUAGGUCCUCAGAUAUAUUUAUACCAAAGGAAUGUUAUGAAUGUAAAAAACAGUUUGACUCCCCCCCCCCCGCCAAAAAAAAACUCCACAACCCUAUAUUUUGUUAUCACAAGACUGUUUUAGUGAAUAAAACAGUAUGAAUUGGUUUUACCUGUUUCCAUUUAAUACUUAUUAACUUUAUAAUCGUAUAGCCUGAGGGUUUUAACUUCAAGUACAGCAUGAUGACUAUAAUAGUUUUACACAAGGCAAAUGUGAAAAACAGAAGUAAUUUCUUUUAAAAAGUGUGAAAUAUCUAAAAGGUAUGACUUCAAUACAUCAACUCAGGUGAGACAGACAUGUAACUUCUUUUUCCAUGUUUAAACCUAAUAUUGCUUUUGUGCCUCUGAAGGCUCGGAGUUUCCAUGCCUUCUUAGGACAUGCCACCCUCUCCACACCUGGAUGUGUUCACCAACCCAGAAGCUCUUGGAACCCCAUCAUUUGGGGUUUUUAUGGAGUCCCCAUUAAGUAGGUAUGACUGAUUAAAUCACUGGCCAUUGGUGGUUGACUCAAUCUCCAGCCUCUCUUCCCUCUCUGAAGGUGAAGGGGUGGGAAGGUGAGGCUAAGUUCCAACCCUCGGAUCACAGGGUUGGUUCCUCUGCAACCAGGCUUCAUCGUGAAACAAUACAGGGCCCACCGAGAGUCACCCCAUUAGCAAACUCAGAUGUGAUUGAAAGGGGCUUAUUAUGAAUAUCAAAAGACAUUUCUCUUUCUCCUAUUACUCAGACAGUUACAAGGGUUUCAGAAGCUCUUGCACCAGGAACUGGGAACAAAGACCAAAUAUAUAUGUCUUCUUCUAUUACAAUGUCACAGGUGUGACAGAGUAGGUAAAUGGAGUCUCAGAGAGUCCCCAGAGUAUUCCAUGGAGCCACAAAAUGAAGAAUAAAUGGAUGGUUCUCCCCAUGAUCAAAAGUGGCCUGAAAAUACUUGAGAAUGAGUCAUAACUUAAAAGGCUGUAUAGUAGAAAAGAAUGCACAGAGGACCGAAUGUAAAAGAAGGCACCCCAGUCUCAGCUAGUGUGGAUGCAUGCCAGUGUAGAAAGAUGCUAGUGUGGCUACAUUGGUGCACUGAAGACCAAACUCCUGCAUGGCCCCACAUCCUUGAUACCUUAGAUCUAUAUCAUCCCCUAAAACUUAGGUGUUAUGACAUUCAGGAUAUGCUACCCCAUCAUUUUUUAGGCUGAAGGAAUUUGAGAAAACAGAAGCAGGAAUGUAAUUGCCCAGUGGGUUCUUCCUGCCCUGUGCACAGACAAAACCAGUUCACUGAGACCAUGGUAUUGCAGUUAAGAAAGAGUUUAACAGGAGGCUGGCCACAUGGAAGAAUUACAGUUAUUACAAAUUAGUCUCCCUGAAGGCUCAGAGGUCAGGGUUUUUCAUGGAUAGUUCGGUGAGCAGUGGAUUAGGGGUAAGUGCUGCUGAUUGGUUGGGGAUACAAUCAUAGGGGUGUGGAAAAUGGUCCUUGUGUGCUGAGUCACCUCUGGGUGGGAGGCCAUGGGACCCAUUGAGUCAUGAGUCACGAGGCUGGGUUGGGUCAGUGUGAAAAACAUCUCAAAAGACCAAUCUUAGGUUCAAAAUAGGUGAUAUUACCUGUAGGAGCAAUUGGGAAAGUUAUAAAUUAUAUGACCUCUUGGCCCCAUGACUUCUGAGCAGUAAGAGAUGAUAGAAACUAAACCUACAUUUUAUCAGCACUCAGGCCUCUUCCAUAAUCCUAAUCUUGUGGCCUUUCGUUAGUCUUAUAAAGGUGGUUUGGUAACUGCCCUCAAGCAAGGAGGGGAUCAGUUUUAGGGAGGUGCUAUUAUCAUCCUUGCUUCAAAGUUAAGCUGUAAACUAAAUUCCUCCCAUAAUUAGCUUGGCCUACACCCAGAAAUGAGCAAAGACAGCCAGCCUGUGAUGUUAGAAGCAAGAUGGAGUUAGUCAUGUUAGAUUUCUCUCACUGUCAUAAUCUUUGCAAGGGAGGUUCCAGGAAGGUCAUCCUACCUUUCCCCUCACCCUUCUCAUGUGACACAGGUCAUAAAGCCUAGGAAGGAUUUUCCGACCUUUCCCUGAAGCAGGUCGUAAGACCCUCAUUGGGGAGGUGCCAUUUCUAGACCAAGAGAAAAGGCACAUCCUUAUGUCUGAAGACACAGGGACACAGAGAAGAAUCUGAACAAACAGGUCUUGCUAAGUUCCCCCCAGUUUGUUUUCAUUAGAUCAUGCCCCUUUAUUCAAUGCUGUUUCUCCACAACUAUCCAUUUCUUCAUCAAGCCUAGCAUAAAAAAUACAGGUUUCACGGUUUCUUUGGGUCUUCAUUUCCUUAUAAAGUCUCCUGUACCAUGUAAAACUUAAAUAAGUUUCUCUGCUUUUCUCUUGUUGAUUCUGUCCUUUGUUUUAUAACCCUCAGACAUGAACCUAGUGAUGAGUGAGGGGAAGAUAAUUUAUUUUCCUCUACAGAUGCAAAAGGGAAAAGGGAACAAUCCCUAAACGGAAGUUAUGAUCCAGGGAUCAGAGGCUCAAAAGCAAGAUUAGGUUUAAAUGUAGAAAAAUACAUUCCUCUUUCAUUUUAGAUAUCCCAAAUGCCCAAAUCAACCCAGCUAUUUCUCAGAAGUCUGUUUCCCCUCCACCCUCUGCUCCUCUGUGUAGUGAAACUGUCUCGUUUGGGAGUAAAAUGGCCUGGCUUUCCUUACUGAGUAUACUCUCAAGACUAUUGCCUAUUACUUUUUUCCAUUCCUUCUUGAGAACUACGCUUUUUAAAACAAGAAUUGACUCCAUUUAUCUUUUUCUUUUAGCCUUCUGCUGGGGUAUGCCUUCUCUAAAGCAAUGAAUAAAAAAUGCUUUAGCUGAAUAAAUGGGGCAAGGAUCAAGGAGUACAAGCUAAUAUUUCACAAUAUUAUCCUGCCAUAAAUAAAAGUAUGGUUUAAAUGACAAUGGUGGGGUUAGGAGUUACAGGUCACUGAAACACCACCUUAUUCAUGCUACCAGCCCCUUGGCUUUCCUGAUGGCAGCAGGGAAGCAACACAUAGGUAGAAUUAUGAGCCAACAUCGUGACUGGAGAGGGAUUGAAAAUCUUAUUUGUUGUCUUCCUAGACUAUUACAGUUAUCUGUUGAAAUUAGACUCAAUUCUUUGGCGAAAGUACUCAUUUUUAAGGUCCAUAAUAAAUUGUAACUAUGUAGCCUUUGUUGCAUGAGUUUAGUAUGAGCUGAUUGGUGGGCCACAGUGAAAGGCAGAGGGAAAUGGAUGUUAACUAAGAGGUAGAAGUCCCCUUGAAGUUCUGACCCUGUCACUAAUGAAGUCUUUAUUUCCGUAUUUAGUAAUUGCCUUUUUUUUUUUUUUUUGAGACAGAGUCUUGCUCUGUCGCCAGGAUGGGGUACAGUGGCACAGUAUCUGCUCACUGCAACCUCCGCCUCCCAGGUUCAAGCAGUUCCCCUGCCUCAGCUUCCUGAAUAGCUGGGACUACAGGUGUCUGCCGCCAUGCCUGGCUAAUUUUUGUAUUUUUAGUAGAGACGGGGUUUCACUAUGUUGGCCAGGAUGGUCUCGAUCUCCUGACCUCGUGAUCUGCCCACCUCAGCCUCCCAAAGCUAGGAUUACAGACGUGAGCCACCAUGCCCGGCCAACUGCCUUCUUUAUAUCUCAUUUUAAAAAUUUAUAACAAAGAAGUGGGUUGAUUUUCAAGACCUAGUUGUGUUAGUUUGAAUGAGAUGCAUACAUUUGGCAAGUCUGGGGUCUAAGAAAAGAUAAAGAUCUGAAUGCUGAAAAUCUAGAGAAUUCAGGUUACUGGGGGAUAACUUAAAGUCACUAGGGAAUUCGGGUUACUGGGGGGAUAACUUAAGGUCACUAGGGAAUUCGGGUUACUGGGGGGAUAACUUAAGGUCACUAGAACCCAAAUGCAGGGAAGAGUUGGGUGCUCUUUGGCAAAUAAACAUUCCUGACUUAGCAUUUUUCUUAAACCCGAACGUGCCAGCUGUUUUUUUGUUUUUUUGUUUUUUUGUUUUGUGACCUCAGCCAGGCUUGCGUGUUUAUUCAUCACAUAUUCUAAGCUCAUAUACAACUGUGACCUGAUCCAGCCUUCAAGGAACUCACUCUUGAUUUUAGGAAUCUUUCCACCACUUCGAUUUCAUCUUACUCCUGAAACAGUCAGCCAGAACUGUCUAAUUCAGUCUAUACUUCUGAUACAAAACUCUACCCAGCAACCACUAUGGUUUUGUUGCUUUAGGUACGUGUUAGAAAGCACCCACAUCAAUUUACAGAAAAUCCUUAACUGAAUCUCUAGUCCCAGAGGAGUCAUAUUUUAUUAUAUGGUGCUUUUUAUUUAAAGAGAUCGGUUUAAUAGAAAUUACUCAGGCAUUUGAAGUGAUAGCUUUAAAAUGUGGGACUGGGGAAAAUAAGAACACUUGACCUCUCUCCAUAAAAUUGAAUUGUUCUUUAGGUUUAAAGUUUUGACAGACAAAGAGAAAGUGAGAGCAAGUGAGGGUGAAAAUAUAUCCUUAUUUGGUAAUGAGUACCCAUUAAGAGGACAGUAUAUUACAUUUCAUCUUCUUACUUCACAUUCCUGUUUUAAGGAUUUGUGAGCAAAGUGCUGUGAGACCUCUAGAGUUAAGAGGCUGGAGAUAGGUAGUUUUGAUGGUAUUUUAAGGAGUGCUCCAUAAUGUGUAGUGUCUGAGUGCUGAAGCUUAAUCAGCUUCAAUUAAAUCCAAAACAUACUGAAUAGCUCCUAUGUGUCUGGCAUUGAGCUGUGUGCCAAAGUGGUGGAAAGAUGUAAGAGCCACUGAGGCUUAGAGAUGAAAAGGAUCUUGGAGCCACUGGUUUCCUGCCUGCUGGAGUUUCACCAUCAAGGACCCUUUCGUUAUUUUCCUUCUCCCAUGCAUUUUAUUAAAAUUUUUGGUUUAGUAAACCAAAUUCACUAAUGGGAUGUUAUUUUCAUAUCAAAGAGUAUAAUUCUGCCAAUCAAGGCUUCUGAUCAGCAUAAAAUAAUUAGGUUUCAUACUGAAUGCACAAAUUCUAGUCAAAAGCAAAGCCAUUUGAUGACAUGUCUGCUAUGUUGCCAUUUGCUUUAAGAGAGGUAAAGGUAGCCUGACUUCUGUUCACUCUGUAGUACAGAAUACAUUGUUAACAAGUCAUAGGUAUGUUCUUUUAGGUUUCUAAUUACUGUCAGCCUCUCAUUUCAGACAGGUGAUGUGAUAAGGUGAAAUGAUUACUAUAUUUAGACUCAAAAGUCCUGAGUUUGAGUCCUCGUUUAACGAUCUAGUCCAUGAGCUUCAGUUUUCUCACCUGUUAAAUGGAAAUGAUGAUUAUUUCCUGGAAAUUGCAUUUCCAGGUUGUUUUGAAUGAUAAAUGAUAUGGUGUAUAUAUCAGCUGUUUGCAAACCAGAAAAAGCUAUUCUAUGGUAAACACAUGCAGUGGGCUGAAUUGUGUCUCCCAAAAUUCAUAUGUUGAAGUCCUCACCCCCAGGGCCUCAGAAUGUGACUGUAUUUGGAUCUAGGGUCUUCAAGAGAUAACUAAGUUAGAAUGAGGUCAUUUGGGUUGAUCCUAAUCCAACUGACUGAUAUCCUUAUAAGACGACGAAAUUUGGAUACAGAAAUACACAGAAGACAGGGAGAAGAUGGCCAUCUACAAGCUAAGGAGAGAGGCCUCAGAAGAAACACACCUGCCACACCUUGAAUUUGGACUUCUAGCCAUCAGAACUGUGGGAAAAUAAAUUUCUGUUGUUUAAGCCAGGAGUCCUCAACCCCCGGGCUGUGGACCUGUACCAGUCGGUGGCAUGUUAAGGACUGGGCUCCACAGCAGGAGGUGAGUGGUGGGCGAGUGAGCAUUACUGCCUGAGCUCCACCUCCCGUCAGAUCAGCAGUGGCAUUAGAUUCUCAUAGGAGCACAAACCCUAUUGUAAACUGAGCACGCAAGGGAUCUAGGUUGUGCGCUCCUUACGAGAAUCUAAUGCCUGAUAAUCUGAGAUUGAACAGUUUUAUCCCCAAACCAUCCCCUCCACCACCCCCGUGGUCUGUGGAAAAAUUGUCUUCCACAAAACUGGUCCCUGGUGCCGAAAAGGUUAGGGACCAGCGGCUCAAGCCACCCAGCCUGUGGUACUUUGUUACGGUAGCCCUGGCAAAUGAAUACAACACGUUUUAGACUAUGAUGUUACACAUGCAGUGUGUUGAGAGCCAAAGAACCCAAAUGAUUCGUGGUAUCUGCCCUUGAAGAGUUUUUAAUCUUUUUGGGCAUGAUGAAACAUACACAUGGAAAAUAAAAUAGCAUAUAACCAAGUGCCCAAAUCAGUAAUAAAUACAGUUGACUCCAUAAACAUUUAGGAACCUUCUAUCCCAUGUUUCCACAUUCUAUCCCAGUGGCUUUUGCCACUAAAUUUCUUCACCCACUAUUAGACUGAUGUUUUCAUCUUUCAGUAUCAGACUCAAGCUUUAAUCUAGAAAGAGGGGGUGGGGGGAUAAAUGCUAUACUUUGGAACCAGUCCGGAUAUUUUAAGUAUGUUUUUAAAAAGUAUAAUCCUCACAACAUGAAAGUUAUUAGUUCUAUUUUUCAGGUGAGAAGAGUUAAGGUCAAACAGACGAAAGCUAGUUAGUGGAGGGACUGGUAUUCCAAGCCCAUUCUGGUUAAACUAAAUCUUGUGUUCUUUCCACUAGAAAACUGCUUUUUGUCUUAAUUAUAAUUUUGUGACAAGGAUGUAUAGUCCAUUAAGGAAUAUAUACAACAGAAGAAGCAUUUAAGUGGACUUGAGGUUUGUGAAUCUGAACUAGUUUCUAUCGACUUUCACAUCAGCAGCUCCUAUUCUGGGGAAAGAGAAUGGAGGCUGGGAGUGAUCCUGACAAACCUUGAUGUGCAGGCUUGUGGAGAAACUGGAUUCACACCCAGGCUCGUGGAGUGUGGGAGAGGCUGGCCUGUCACAAUAUCAGGACAGCCUCUCUUAAUAACACUGCAGAAGGAAUCGAGGGCCCUGUGGUUUGCGGUCAGUGUGCCUCUUGUGCCAACUUUGGCACUACAAUGUCUUCAAUCACAUUAUCUUCCAAACCGGCUCUUCAUCCUAUGUCCUUAUUUCUGCUAAUGGUAUUCAUUUCUCUUAUUCAUGGACUCUGGGAAUCUUGGUGGUAUUAAAACCUGUCUCUUCUUUCCCCCUCGAUCUUCCACAUUCCAUUUCCUUUCAGCAGAAUCCCAAGCCUUCACCAUUUUUCAUUUUUGGUGCUGUUUCAGAGUUGCUGUGAACUUUACCUGGGUCCUCUAUCACCUUACCCAGCCAUUUGUCAUUCUGCCUGGUAAAGGGUUGAGCAGAUUUAUCUAUAUGAAUGAUCUUAUUUAAGCUAUUCUGUACACCUUCUGCUACUUAAACAGGCUCUAUGCUUCCACAUCUGCUCUCUAUCUGCCUAUGUGACUCAAACUUCAAUUGUCCAUCUCAGACAUCACAUCCUCCAUGAAGCCCUCUUGGGUUAUUUGAAGUAAUCUCUCUUCUGGGCUCUCAUAGCAUUACUGCUUGUAACUCUUUCAAAAGAUGAAUUUUGUGCUGUUGUUUACUUAAUGAGUACAAAUUUAGUGAUAAAUUUGAAAAACUUGUGUCCAUGUUUGAUAAAUAUGAAAAUCUCAUCAUUUUCAAUAUUUCUUAGAAUUUCAAAAUGUACUAAAUAUUAUUAAAAACCAAUCAUGGCAAUUUUAACAUUGAGUAUUCUUUUUUGAAAUAUGAAUGCUCCUCUCUCAAGACUGGUAUACUUUCUCACUCUACUCCCUUUUCAAGUGCCCUUAUCGAACUUUGCUGAUGAAAUCAUCUUUUCUUAGUUUGUUAGACUUUGGAUGGUGGAGACCUGUGCCUGCUACUUCUCUCAUCUCCUGAUACCUAAUGCAUAGUGUUCAGUAAGUAUUUAUUUGGUGAUAACAAUAUCAAAAACUAGAUAAUGCUUAGAAGAUCCAACACCUUCCAAAAUCUCUGUUAACCAGGUACUGAAAUAUGGUCAACCAGAUGAGCUGAAAUGUCAAGAACUUAUAGACACACAUGGUUUCAUGGUUGUGAAACUAGAAGAUGUGGCAUAUUUUACACAAUGGAGGGAAGAGCAAAGGUUAUGCAUGUGCGGAGGCAGAGCCCCUAGGCAGGUUUCCCUCUUUUCCUUCCUGUGCACUGAUUUUUAUUUUGGUGAACUGAAACAGGGGUCUAACAAACUGGUAUCUCAUUUGUCUUUAUAAACAGAACUGCCAGAUUGGCUUUGCAAUUCAGGGCCCUGUAGGGUGCCCACCUCCUCAGUUUGGGCAGCAGCAUUACAUCUGAGUCUUAGAAUAAAAAUGGAAAGCAAUGGCUCAACCCAUUGGUUUGUCACCAUCCACAUGAAGGAUCUCUAUUGGUAAAAAAACAGACUCCCGUGUUCAAGGCCCUGGGGCUGGAAUCAAAUCCAUCAUUCAUUUAUUUCGGUUUUUUAAGGCUAAAUACAUAGGGAAGAAAAUGAAAUGUGAGAAAGCUGUGCAUUUUCAAUGUCAUCUUGAAAGUGAGUAUCUUUAGACACAUAAAGUAGAUGAGUGGUUAACUUGGGCUGGGAGAGGGAGUGAGGAGUGGUUGUACAUGGCACAAGGUUUCUAUUUAGUGUGAUUGAAAUGUUCUAUAAUUUGAUUGAUGAUUGUACAGUUCUGUAAAUAAACUAAAAUGUAUUGAAUUGUAUAAUUAAAACAUGCAGAUUUUAUAUUUAAAAUAUACUUUGAUAAAAGUGUUUUAAAAAUGAAUAUCUCAUAGGGUAGAAUGAAAUGAAUAAGAGAAACAGUGAGGCAUCCAGGGGACUUUCUGCACAGUGGGUCUGUCAUUAGGCAGGUACGUUGCCACAGCCAGUUCUAAUGCCCACUCAUAGGCCAAUGCCUAGGACAAUUGCUCAGAUAUCGCCUCUGACAGGCAAGUGUUCCAUCAGUAACAGCAGGCAUCGGAAGAUGAUGCCAUUCCCUGCUGUUAGUAUGAUUAUAUUGACUUAGGUUUUUAAUUUUCUUUCUUGCUGUGUUUUUUUUUUUUCACCUUCUUAGCCUCUAAAGCAUGAACAUCUGUGUUUUUCAG
rnacentral:lncRNA from 10 species